rnacentral:rRNA from 1 species
GACGAAGGGGGCUAGCGUUGCUCGGAAUCACUGGGCGUAAAGCGCACGUAGGCGGCUUUCUAAGUCAGGGGUGAAAUCCUGGAGCUCAACUCCAGAACUGCCUUUGAUACUGGAGAGCUUGAGUCCGGAAGAGGUGAGUGGAACUCCGAGUGUAGAGGUGAAAUUCGUAGAUAUUCGGAAGAACACCAGUGGCGAAGGCGGCUCACUGGUCCGGUACUGACGCUGAGGUGCGAAAGCGUGGGGAGCAAACAGG